rnacentral:lncRNA from 8 species
UCAGGACCAUCCAACAGUUUGGCCAGGAGUUGAUCACGCAGGCACAGCAGCUCCAGCCCCUCUCAUUCUCCAUCCACCCAUGUUCAGGAUGUAGUUGGGCAAUUUAGGGAUUCAGCUGGCCGUUCCAGAUGCUCUCCUUCCACAUCCCACUUCACACACAGUGGGUCAAGAGUAAAGCUUGCCAGACAAGUCCAGAAUUCUUGGUUGUUCAUUCAACCAAUGAACAACCAAUGAAGGUUUGUUCAUUGGUUGAAUGUUGCAGAAUCAUCCAGGGCUUCUACUAGCCAGUCGCACGUCCAGAGCAGAGAGCACAGAUGUUCUCCAUAUCCAUCCUGUUACUCUAUCAGACAAGAUUCAUCCACGGCUUCUACUUGCCAAUCCCAACGGAGCCAAGAGCAUCGCAGCUCUCACCCUCCCAUUCCCUCCGCUAGACCAGAACUGUUUCCCAUGAAUAAUGCCAAAUUUCAGAAGUGUGUCCUAACUAAAUUGGUGGAGAUAUUGGAGGAGGAGGUGAAACGUGUUUGGAGAGCAGAGUCCCAAGACUCUUGAGUUCCAUGUCAAGAGGAUGAAGACGGAGCAAGUCUUUGAGCAACGAGAGCAGCAGCUCCAAAGUGUAGAUGCACAGAAUCUGAUGGUGAAACUGAAAUUUAUUUUGACAUUUCAUUUACACUGUAGAUUUAGUCAGCAUUUUUCACACUACCUAAAGUGAUACAAUUAGUUAAUUCCACUCUUACAAGCAAUGCCUGUAUAAUAAAAAAAGGUAGUCUUACAGAAACAGUUGUUACUGCGUAACUUCCGAUGUUUCAAACAAAGUCUCUUGACACAGAUUGCAAGGUUAAGCAAAAUUGGUGGUGAGGACACAAAGGACUGUGCCCAGUGGAGGUUCUAGACCAUUUCAACUGGGGGGGCCAAGCUGGGGCCAGGUGUACUGUUAGAGGGGCCAGUUACAUUAGACGUUA